rnacentral:rRNA from 1 species
GGGCCCGCACAAGCGGUGGAGUAUGUGGUUUAAUUCGAUGCAACGCGAAGAACCUUACCAGGGUUUGACAUCCUGCGAAUCUCUUGGAAACGAGAGAGUGCCUUCGGGAGCGCAGUGACAGGUGGUGCAUGGCUGUCGUCAGCUCGUGUCGUGAGAUGUUGGGUUAAGUCCCGCAACGAGCGCAACCCACGUCUUUAGUUGCCAGCAUUUAGUUGGGCACUCUAGAGAGACCGCCGGUGAUAAACCGGAGAAGGUGUGGAUGACGUCAAGUCAUCAUGCCCCUUACAUCUGGGCUACACACGUGCUACAAUGGCGCAUACAGAGUGCUGCGAACCUGCGAGGGUAAGCGAAUCACUUAAAGUGCGUCGU